rnacentral:rRNA from 1 species
AUUGAACGCUGGCGGCAUGCCUUACACAUGCAAGUCGAGCGGCAGCGGACCUUCGGGUGCCGGCGAGUGGCGAACGGGUGAGUAAAGUAUCGGAACGUACCUUUCAGUGGGGGAUAACGUAGCGAAAGUUACGCUAAUACCGCAUAUUCUCUGAGGAGGAAAGCAGGGGACCUUCGGGCCUUGCGCUGAUGGAGCGGCCGAUAUCAGAUUAGCUAGUUGGUGGGGUAAAGGCCUACCAAGGCGACGAUCUGUAGCGGGUCUGAGAGGAUGAUCCGCCACACUGGGACUGAGACACGGCCCAGACUCCUACGGGAGGCAGCAGUGGGGAAUUUUGGACAAUGGGCGAAAGCCUGAUCCAGCCAUGCCGCGUGAGUGAAGAAGGCCUUCGGGUUGUAAAGCUCUUUCGGCCGGGAAGAAAUCGUGUGGGCUAAUACCCUGCAUGGAUGACGGUACCGGAAUAAGAAGCACCGGCUAACUACGUGCCAGCAGCCGCGGUAACAC